UGGCCUUGACAUAGAAAGAACUUUCCAGAGACGGAUUGGUGCUAGUUUACUAGAGCUUUCAUACAGGUGCUGCACGGCUGUCGUCAGCUCGUGUCGUGAGAUGUUGGGUUAAGUCCCGCAACGAGCGCAACCCUCGUGUUUAGUUACUAACAGGGGGCAUAUAAAAGUACUUCUUUUAUGGUUUUAAGACUGUAAAGCAAGAAAAUAAGUAUUUUUAUAUGCCCUGCUGAGGACUCUAGACAGACUGCCUGGGUAACCAGGAGGAAGGUGAGGACGACGUCAAGUCAUCAUGGCCCUUACGGCCAGGGCUACACACGUGCUACAAUGGGAUAUACAAAGAGUCGCAAUACCGUGAGGUGGAGCAAAUCUCAUAAAAUAUCUCCCAGUUCGGAUUGAAGUCUGCAACUCGACUUCAUGAAGUUGGAAUCGCUAGUAAUCGCGGAUCAGCACGCCGCGGUGAAUACGUUCCCGGGCCU
rnacentral:rRNA from 1 species